AGCUCUGCACAGUGGCAGUAUCGUAGCCAAUGAGGUUUAUCCGAGGCACGAUUAUUGCUAAUUGAAAGAGCUGGCUAAGCCUGAAUUUUUACAAGGUGUGAUUUGUAAAGAUGGUCCUGAAAUCACCAAAUAUUCUCCUUAUUAAUCAUAAGCAUUGCUAUUAGAAUCUUCAAAAAUUCAUAAUUUAU
rnacentral:snRNA from 1 species